rnacentral:rRNA from 1 species
CCUACGGGUGGCAGCAGUGAGGAAUAUUGGUCAAUGGACGCAAGUCUGAACCAGCCAUGCCGCGUGCAGGAUGACGGCUCUAUGAGUUGUAAACUGCUUUUGUACGAGGGUAAAACCCGAUACGUGUACCGGGCUGAAAGUAUCGUACGAAUAAGGAUCGGCUAACUCCGUGCCAGCAGCCGCGGUAAUACGGAGGAUCCGAGCGUUAUCCGGAUUUAUUGGGUUUAAAGGGUGCGUAGGCGGGUGGGUAAGUUAGGGGUGAAAUGUCGGGGCUCAACCCCGAAACGGUCUCUAAUACUGUUGGACUUGAGAAGACGAGCGGUAGGCGGAAUGUGUGGUGUAGCGGUGAAAUGCUUAGAGAUCAUACAGAACACCGAUUGCGAAGGCAGCUUACC